rnacentral:rRNA from 1 species
CGGUUAAGUUAGAAAGGGCGCACGGUGGAUGCCUUGGCACUAGGAGCCGAUGAAGGACGGGACGAACACCGAUAUGCUUCGGGGAGCUGUAAGCAAGCUUUGAUCCGGAGAUUUCCGAAUGGGGAAACCCACCACUCGUAAUGGAGUGGUAUCCAUAUCUGAAUACAUAGGAUAUGAGAAGGCAGACCCGGGGAACUGAAACAUCUAAGUACCCGGAGGAAGAGAAAGCAAAUGCGAUUCCCUGAGUAGCGGCGAGCGAAACGGGACCAGCCCAAACCAAGAGGCUUGCCUCUUGGGGUUGUAGGACACUCUGUACGGAGUUACAAAGGAACGAGGUAGAUGAAGAGGUCUGGAAAGGCCCGCCAUAGGAGGUAACAGCCCUGUAGUCAAAACUUCGUUCUCUCCUGAGUGGAUCCUGAGUACGGCGGAACACGUGAAAUUCCGUCGGAAUCCGGGAGGACCAUCUCCCAAGGCUAAAUACUCCCUAGUGACCGAUAGUGAACCAGUACCGUGAGGGAAAGGUGAAAAGCACCCCGGAAGGGGAGUGAAAGAGAUCCUGAAACCGUGUGCCUACAAGUAGUCAGAGCCCGUUAACGGUGAUGGCGUGCCUUUUGUAGAAUGAACCGGCGAGUUACGAUCCCGUGCAAGGUUAAGCAGAAGAUGCGGAGCCGCAGCGAAAGCGAGUCUGAAUAGGGCGAAUUGAGUACGUGGUCGUAGACCCGAAACCAGGUGAUCUACCCAUGUCCAGGGUGAAGUUCAGGUAACACUGAAUGGAGGCCCGAACCCACGCACGUUGAAAAGUGCGGGGAUGAGGUGUGGGUAGGGGUGAAAUGCCAAUCGAACCUGGAGAUAGCUGGUUCUCUCCGAAUAGCUUUAGGGCUAGCCUCAAGGUAAGAGUCUCGGAGGUAGAGCACUGAUUGGACUAGGGGCCCUACCGGGUUACCGAAUUCAGUCAAACUCCGAAUGCCGAUGACUUAUCCUUGGGAGUCAGACUGCGAGUGAUAAGAUCCGUAGUCGAAGGGAAACAGCCCAGACCGCCAGCUAAGGUCCCAAAGUAUACGUUAAGUGGAAAAGGAUGUGGAGUUGCUUAGACAACCAGGAUGUUGGCUUAGAAGCAGCCACCAUUUAAAGAGUGCGUAAUAGCUCACUGGUCGAGUGACUCUGCGCCGAAAAUGUACCGGGGCUAAACGUAUCACCGAAGCUGCGGACUGUUCUUCGAACAGUGGUAGGAGAGCGUUCUAAGGGCUGUGAAGCAAGACCGGAAGGACUUGUGGAGCGCUUAGAAGUGAGAAUGCCGGUAUGAGUAGCGAAAGAGGGGUGAGAAUCCCCUCCACCGAAUGCCUAAGGUUUCCUGAGGAAGGCUCGUCCGCUCAGGGUUAGUCGGGACCUAAGCCGAGGCCGAAAGGCGUAGGCGAUGGAUAACAGGUUGAUAUUCCUGUACCACCUCCUCACCAUUUGAGCAAUGGGGGGACGCAGGAGGAUAGGGUAAGCGCGGUAUUGGAUAUCCGCGUCCAAGCAGUUAGGCUGGGAAAUAGGCAAAUCCGUUUCCCGUGAAGGCUGAGCUGUGAUGGCGAGCGAAUUAUAGUAGCGAAGUUCCUGAUUCCACACUGCCAAGAAAAGCCUCUAGCGAGGUGAGAGGUGCCCGUACCGCAAACCGACACAGGUAGGCGAGGAGAGAAUCCUAAGGUGAUCGAGAGAACUCUCGUUAAGGAACUCGGCAAAAUGACCCCGUAACUUCGGGAGAAGGGGUGCUCUGUUAGGGUGCAAGCCCGAGAGAGCCGCAGUGAAUAGGCCCAGGCGACUGUUUAGCAAAAACACAGUCUCUGCGAAGCCGUAAGGCGAAGUAUAGGGGCUGACGCCUGCCCGGUGCUGGAAGGUUAAGAGGAGCGCUUAGCGUAAGCGAAGGUGCGAAUUGAAGCCCCAGUAAACGGCGGCCGUAACUAUAACGGUCCUAAGGUAGCGAAAUUCCUUGUCGGGUAAGUUCCGACCCGCACGAAAGGCGCAACGAUCUGGGCACUGUCUCAACGAGAGACUCGGUGAAAUUAUAGUACCUGUGAAGAUGCAGGUUACCCGCGACAGGACGGAAAGACCCCGUGGAGCUUUACUGCAGCCUGAUAUUGAAUGUUGGUACAGCUUGUACAGGAUAGGUAGGAGCCUUGGAAACCGGAGCGCCAGCUUCGGUGGAGGCAUCGGUGGGAUACUACCCUGGCUGUAUUGACCUUCUAACCCGCCGCCCUUAUCGGGCGGGGAGACAGUGUCAGGUGGGCAGUUUGACUGGGGCGGUCGCCUCCUAAAAGGUAACGGAGGCGCCCAAAGGUUCCCUCAGAAUGGUUGGAAAUCAUUCGCAGAGUGUAAAGGCACAAGGGAGCUUGACUGCGAGACCUACAAGUCGAGCAGGGACGAAAGUCGGGCUUAGUGAUCCGGUGGUUCCGCAUGGAAGGGCCAUCGCUCAACGGAUAAAAGCUACCCCGGGGAUAACAGGCUUAUCUCCCCCAAGAGUCCACAUCGACGGGGAGGUUUGGCACCUCGAUGUCGGCUCAUCGCAUCCUGGGGCUGUAGUCGGUCCCAAGGGUUGGGCUGUUCGCCCAUUAAAGCGGUACGCGAGCUGGGUUCAGAACGUCGUGAGACAGUUCGGUCCCUAUCCGUCGCGGGCGCAGGAAAUUUGAGAGGAGCUGUCCUUAGUACGAGAGGACCGGGAUGGACGCACCGCUGGUGUACCAGUUGUUCUGCCAAGGGCAUCGCUGGGUAGCUAUGUGCGGACGGGAUAAGUGCUGAAAGCAUCUAAGCAUGAAGCCCCCCUCAAGAUGAGAUUUCCCAUUCCGCAAGGAAGUAAGAUCCCUGAAAGAUGAUCAGGUUGAUAGGUCUGAGGUGGAAGUGUGGCGACACAUGGAGCUGACAGAUACUAAUCGAUCGAGGACUUAACCAAUUU